UACGGAGGGUGCAAGCGUUAUCCGGAUUCACUGGGUUUAAAGGGUGCGUAGGCGGUCAGGUAAGUCCGUGGUGAAAUCUCUGAGCUUAACUCAGAAACUGCCAUGGAUACUAUUUGUCUUGAAUAUUGUGGAGGUAAGCGGAAUAUGUCAUGUAGCGGUGAAAUGCUUAGAUAUGACAUAGAACACCAAUUGCGAAGGCAGCUUACUACACAGUUAUUGACGCUGAGGCACGAAAGCGUGGGGAGCAAACAGG
rnacentral:rRNA from 1 species